CCUAUCGGGUAGCACAAAAGUUUUUUAUUUAACAGUUCACUAAAAAACAAAUCUUUUUCGGCUUAUUCGAUUAAAAAAAAAUAAAAAACAAUCACCCUUAUUCUUGUUUACGGCCGUAUCGCUUUCGUACGAAAGCAGCAGCGGCGUACGAAUGCGAUACGAACACAUACGAAUCCGAUUCGUUCUAACCAAUUCGAGCUUUCGAACAUCGUUGCUUUCGUACGAACGUGUCAUUCUUGUUUACGUACGUAUGCGUAUCCGUAUUCUUUUUGCUCUCGUUCGUAAACGUCAGUCAAAAGUUGCGAAUCGCUUUACGAAUCGCCGGCGCCGGUAGUUUUUUCUCGUUUUUCUGCUGUUUUAUGUAAAUUGUUUUUUUUUUAAUCGAAUAAGCCGAAGAAGAUUUGUUUUUUAGUGAACUGUUAAAUAAAAAACUUUUGUGCUACUCGAUUUGCUAAAAUGAAAAGGCAAUCGAAAGUUGUGAAUCGCCAUCGCCGCGGGUUGUUUUGGUUAUUUCGUGUGAAGAAAAUCGGAUAAAUUGGACAAAGUUUCUUUUCUAGUGAAGGGUUGAAUGAUGAAAAAAUUUGCUGAAAUCGUUGCCGGAUAUUUGAAUCGUUUUGUUAGUGCUAUCAGCAAUAUCCUUUAAGCCAGUAAACUUAGUUGAAACGUCAUACUCACCUUCAUUCUUGUUUACGUUCGUAUCCAACAUUCGUACGAAAGUAUGGUUUCGAAUGAGUUCGAAAAUGCCAUUCUUGUUUACGUACAAAGGCCAUACGAAUCCAUUCGUAUCGCAUACGAAUGCGAUACGUAUACGAAAAAGGUGGAUGUCUAUGCAAAAAAGGUUGAUGUCUAGACUUAAGGGUUAGAAAAAGUUUAAACGUCAGGAGAGAAAUGUCAAGUGUGUCAAGCCGAUUGAGCGAGGCUUCUGACGGCAAACAGUUUUUCACUGAAUGAAAAUUAAAUAUAUUUUUUAUUAUAAUUUGCAUCAUAAAAAUACUUUGUUCUUGAAAAUAUCGUCGGUAAACAAAUGAAAUUUGCAAGCGAAAUAUGAAAAUGGAACCAAAUUUGGUGCAAAAACAUAAGAUCGUCAUGGGCCUGCGUGAAGCAAUAAAACUUAAACUAUUUACAUUUUUUGUGCAGUUUGGGUUGUGUUUUGAAGUAAGUUGAUUCUGUUUAAUUCUAGUAAAUAUUUGUAAUAAUUAGACGUGUGGUCAGGUGAGAGCCGAUAGACUCAAACUGUGAUUCGGCAGGAGUGAUAGUUUUUUCUCAUAUAGGAGACUGAUAAGCAUGGUUGAUAAAAAAAUCAUCCUGGUCUACAAGCGGCCUGAAGAGCAGAACCUACAGUCGACGACGUUCUUCAUCUACAUUCAGGUCCCGAUCGCAAUCUCGACGUCGCACAACGUGUGACUUAAGACCCAACAGCGGUGAUGGGCUCUGGCUACAUCUGGAAUUGAUUACGACAAUUAAAGUUUGGUCCUCAAUGGAUAAAGAUAUGACUCGUUUCGAUCGGGAGGCAGCCACCAAUCUCAUAGAACGCAACGCAGUGAUGCUGGAAGAAGCCAAGGACACCAUUACGGCGCCGGCCUCGUUUAUGAUACGAAUGCUGGCGUGUAUUCAUUCGCUACGGAAUCGCCGCAGUGCGACCCAAGCCGCUGCGGCAGGCAAUGAUAGUGAAAGUGAUAAUGCCCCACGGGAGGGCAACAAUAACAAUGACGAUAUGACGGCGGCGACCUAUCCCAGAACCGACUCGUCGUCCGACGGUAGAUCGCCGAAACACUAUCUUCAGUUUUAGGUUAAGAACGGGAAAUGUGUUAUUACACACGCUUGAGGAGCCUCUAAUUUUUAAAACUGCCUCGCCCUCGCAACUCCUUAGGGGAAAGUGAAAUCUAAACUGAUUCGCUUAUAUAAUGGUUUGUGUAUUAACAUUUCAGGCGACAGCGUAGGCAAGAAUGAUGUGAUUUUGUUGUAUAAAUAUUUUUAUAAAUAAAAACCAAUAAUAGCCAAAUGUAACUAGUGUUAAGUUUUAGCAAUUUCAUGUCUUGCGUAAAUUUGGGUUCCAUUAAGCUUUCUUUAGAUUUUAUUUCAUAUUGUAUGAGAAUUGUUGGACUUCAAAUGGUGAGUUGACAACCUCGAAGGAGCGGAAGCUGUGGGCCUCAUAAGUUUUUGUUGUCAAUACGACAACAGCUAAGUGCGAGGACGCUACGCGAUCACUUGAGCGUUAACCAUAUUUCAGCGACAGAAGAAAUGCUUCGACAACCCGAGCGGCUGUUCAAUAAGAUAGUGCGACUCAAAACAGCAUCUGUUCCCCUUGUUAAGGGUGGCUGAUCCAGUGUGAAACACGGGAUUGGUGAAAGCUUUACGUGCAGUAGUCGUAAAAAUCUUUUGUACAGGAAGCAACAAAUGUAAAUACAGACCGGAACCGGAACGAAAAUGGACUAACGAUUGGAAACUCGGAUCUGUUGGGCAAAUCAGACAUUGUACAACAAGUAAAACCGCGAUUUAUCGUGAGCAAUGUGUUAGUUAGACUUAGUUUAAUUGCACAUGUAAUAAAAAAUGACAAAAUAUAGAAGGGAUUGUAUCAGCAGGCAUCAGACAAUUUUUGGGAUAGACGGUGUUGGUUUGCUCUCAAGGUAGACCGGAAUAGGGCCCUAUUACAGAAGUUUAAUCGAUUCGACUCGCCCAUGUAUUUCAAAUGAGGCAUGUUGCUCUUCGAAGCUUCUGUAAUACAGCCCAAUGUGAGAAUUUUCGUCAUGUACUUUG